AUAAGAAAAUGAUGCUUUCUUAUUGUUUCUUUAAUAAAAAUAAAAUGGUGAUUAGGGUGGAAUUAUCACCAUAAACUCCUGGAAAGUCUUAAAUUCAGAGAGAGACUUGGUAUUCAUUGGACGUUUCGCAGUUUGGCUUCCAGGUUUUUUUAUGAGUCUUCUCUAAUAUGCAGUAACAUCUUAACCAUAAUGUUACAGUUUUCCCCAUAGGUUGUGUUGGGAAAGACAUGGUGCGGAAUUUGAUGCAAUUUUGAAAGAAUGGUGUGCAUGGCUAAGAGGGUGUCUAAACCAACAUACUCGUCUACAGAAAACAGCCUGAACCAAACUCUGGGUUAAAGCGCAUUCUGGGAAAGUUCAGUUCCAGAUUCAAGCUUGAGGGCUUAGGGCUGGCUAAACCCGUAUCUCACAGUUUGGCGAAGGGUGGAUCUGGCCCUGAGCUUUGUACUUAAUGCUCCUCACCAACUCCUCAUGCCAGGCCUGUAUAUAACAUACAUGUAGGUGACUGCAAUUACACCAUCUUUAGGGUGAUUGUGCUUCACUUGAAUACUACUACUGAUUUCAAUGGUGGACGAUCAAAUUGACUUAAUUCCCCUGACGAUGAAUGAAGUUUUUCAGCCAGUCUUGUCUGAAACACUACCUGCUACCUGACUUUUGGAAGUCAGGGAGUUAUCAGUUAGAACGACCACGUUAGAACGUGCAAAACUAUUCCCACCUGCUGAGUAACUGAAAACAGGCAAUUGUCAGCGUCAGUACUGUCCUCAUUCAAUGCAAAGAAGCCAGUGUUCACCUCUGAUGUCAAAUAUUUGUAUUGCCACUAAAAUACAAAGCAAAUAUCUGCAGUACCUGGACACAGGCUGAAGCACAAGAAAUGCAGAAGGAAACUGAAGGAACAGAGUGGGAAAAGGAAAGCACGCUGCACUAGAUUGCACUUUCUUUGCAGGAUCAAAAAGUUCCCCUUCUGUGAUAUACCUCCCUCUGCAUCAUGGUGCAAAAUAGCAGCAGUGACUCCUAGCGGAUCCAGCCCCAGCCAUCACAGUUGUCUGAUGAGCAGUUAUACAGGCAGCACAGGAUGGGUAACUCAGAUCCUGUGCUCCAAAUUAGUCUUUUGUUAUUUGAGCCUGAGAAGAACAUUCGUGAACAGCAGAAAGCUACAGGACUUAGGACUUCCUUGGAGCCAGCGCCUAAUGAGAGAAAAGACUGCACAGGCAGGAGCUGCUCAGACCUCUGGCAAGAAGGGAGGAAAGACUGUAUUGUCCUGACCCAUGCACUAGUAUCUUGAGGAUGAGAAUUAAAAUGUAAGUGUAAAAUAACAAGGGACAAAGAUGAAAUUCAAUUGAAGUCUUUUCUUUCUCCUGGAGAACUGCUUAGAAUAGAGCACUUAACAAAAACCAGCUUUUUGUGAAACUUGUAGUGUCUCCUUGCUUCAGAUAGCUUUAAAAAGUCACUAAAUUUACUUCCUGCUAUUUGACUUUCCAUGUGUGUGCCAAACAAAGUUUAGAGUCACGCUGACAUCAUUAGAUUAGGUUUGGGUAUUUUUCCCCAUCUGAAAAUACACUUCAAGAUUUGUGCAAAAAAUUCAGAUUGCCUUUUAUCUCCUUAAAAUGUACAACAUGUCCUUCAGACAAUAUAACUGUUCAAAGAAGUAAUCUCAUGGAUCUCAGUAACAAAUACAAGUUUCUGAAGGACAAGGCUCUAGUUUGCCUGUCUCCCUCUAGAAGAAGCAUUUCAUAAGUAACUGCCGUUAAUGGGAACAAAAAUUACCAGUGUGCUUCAGGAGGUAAUUGGGGCAGUGCAGCAGAAGACAGAACUAAAGUGGAAACAAGAAAGUCUGUUAUGAAGGAUAUUUGUGCCUCUGCAAUGUGCAUGCUAAUUGAUAACCUAAUUGCCAACGUUUUGCAGAUAGAUUUAUUGGGGAAAAACAGGAGAGGUAUAAGAAUCAUGGUAAAGCCUUUGGUGACCGCCCCAUCGCUCUGAUCUGGUUAUGCAGAGAUGCGUUGUGAAGCCACCUGUUGGUUUAGCAUUACUGUCCCAGCACAGCUUUAGGCCUCAAAUUUGGCCUUAAUUUCUUCUCCUUCUCCCUAGGUUUCUGUAGGUGAAAAUCUGGCUAUAUUAGGACCAUUUAUGUCUAUUUCAGUCAUCUUUUCACUUGUUACUGAAAGGAGAGCCUAAGCAACAGCGGAGGCCAAACAGCCAGGCAUAUGGUACAGGCCGGAUAUAGGCCUGAUUGCUUAUGGGGGGCAAAUUCAUCAUUAUGCAGAA
rnacentral:lncRNA from 1 species